rnacentral:rRNA from 1 species
UACGGGGGGAGCAAGCGUUGUUCGGAUUUACUGGGCGUAGAGGGCGCGUAGGCGGCCUCCGCAAGUCAGUUGUGAAAUCUCCGAGCUUAACUCGGAAAGGUCAACUGAUACUGCGGGGCUAGAGUGCGGAAGGGGCAACUGGAAUUCUUGGUGUAGCGGUGAAAUGCGUAGAUAUCAAGAGGAACACCUGCGGCGAAGGCGGGUUGCUGGGCCGACACUGACGCUGAGGCGCGAAAGCUAGGGGAGCGAACGGG